UACGUAGGUCCCGAGCGUUGUCCGGAUUUAUUGGGCGUAAAGCGAGCGCAGGUGGUUUAUUAAGUCUGGUGUAAAAGGCAGUGGCUCAACCAUUGUAUGCAUUGGAAACUGGUAGACUUGAGUGCAGGAGAGGAGAGUGGAAUUCCAUGUGUAGCGGUGAAAUGCGUAGAUAUAUGGAGGAACACCGGUGGCGAAAGCGGCUCUCUGGCUGUAACUGACACUGAGGCUCGAAAGCGUGGGGAGCAAACAGG
rnacentral:rRNA from 1 species